rnacentral:lncRNA from 1 species
AAACACUUCCCAAGCCAGGACUUAACUUCCUGCAGAGUUGGGAUGUCAUUUCCUAUGAGUAGUAUGUCAUCCACAUACAAUACCAAAAAACUAACUAUACUCCCACUAGCCUUGACAUACACACAAGAUUCAUCUUCACUCCUAGAAAAGCCAAAUUCCUUGACCUUUUCAUCAAAGCAAAGAUUCCAUCUGCGAGGUGCUUGCUUCAAUCCAUAAAUGGAUUUCUCAAGCUUACACACUCUAUUAGGGUACUCGUUGCUGACAAAACCCUCUGGCUGACUCAUGUAAACAUCUUCAGCCAACUUUCCAUUAAGGAAAGCGGUUUUGACAUCCAUCUGCCAUAUUUCAUAGUCAUGAAAUGCAGCUAUGGCUAACAGAACCCGAAUAGACUUAAUCUUGGCUACUGGAGAAAAGGUCUCAUCAUAGUCCACUCCAGGAAUUUGAGAGAAGCCCUUUGCAACCAGUCUAGCCUUAUAAGUGUGUACUUUACCAUCCAUGUCGGUCUUCUUCUUGAAGACCCAUUUGCACCCUACUGUCUUACGACCUGGUACAUUUUCAACCAAGUUCCAAACUUGAUUGUCAUACAUGGAUUGUAUCUCGCUAUCCAUAGCCUCUUUCCAUUUAGCAGACUCGGGGCCUGCCAUGGCUUCCUCGUAGCUGUUAGGGUCAUCUUGACUUACUAGUGUCUCAUCACUAAUAAGUGUCUCACCUUCUGCAGUAAUAUGGAAUCCAUAGUAAUGCUCAGGUGCACUCCUAACUCUCGUGGAACGUCUCAGAGGUACAGAUUUGUCAAUUGGCUCAACAGGAGUUUCCUCCUCAAGUUGAGGGCUAGAGUUUGAAGUUCCUUCACCGCUUGAUUCUUGAAUUUCUUCAAGAUCAAUUUGCCUCCCACUGUCUCCUUGGCUUAUAAACUCUCUUUCUCGAAAGACUCCUCUUCUUGCUACAAAGACCACAUUGUCACUAGGUCUGUAGAAGAGGUAACCAAAGGAUCGCUGUGGGUAACCGAUGAAAAUACACCUCUCGCUUCGAGGUUCGAGCUUAUCAUGAGUCUCGCGUCUCACGAAAGCCUCGCAACCCCAAAUCUUGAUGUGGUCUAGUUUAGGUACUUUACCAGUCCACAUCUCGUGAGGAGUUUUGGCAACUUUCUUUGUAGGGACUAGAUUAAGAAUAUGGGCGGCAGUCUCUAAGGCAUACCCCCAGAAUGAGAUUGGUAGCGUAGCUCGACUCAUCAUGGAACGAACCAUAUCUAACAAGGUUCGAUUACGCCUCUCAGCCACACCAUUCAACUGUGGUGUCCUGGGAGGUGUCAAUUGUGAGACUAUCCCACAUUCCCUUAGAUAGUCGAGGAACUCUGAACUAAGAUACUCACCACCACGAUCGGAUCGAAGCAUCUUAAUGUUCCUGCCCAAUUGAUUCUCGACUUCCUGUUUAAAUUCCUUAAACCUCUCGAAAGUCUCUGACUUAUGCUUGAUCAAGUAGACAUAUCCAUAUCUACUAUAAUCAUCAGUAAAAGUCAAAUAAUAACGAUUAGCAUCCCUUGUGGCAUGUUUGAAUGGUCCACACACAUCCGUGUGUAUAAGGUCCAACAAACCUUCACCCCUCUCACACGAACCUGUGAAGGGUGACUUUGUCAUUUUUCCAAGUAAGCAUGAUUCGCAACUAUCAUCUGACUUUAGGUCAAACGACUCCAAGACUCCAUCCUUUUGGAGUUGGCCUAUGCGUUUCUUGCUUAUAUGUCCAAGACGACAAUGCCAUAAAGAUGCUUUAUCCAAGUUAUUAUUAGUAGAAUCAAUACACAAAACAUUAUUUCCCAAGUUAUCUACAACAGAUACAGCUUCAUACACACCAUCACAAGGUAAUGCUUUAAAAUAAAAGACAUUAUUAUAGAAAACAUCUAUAGAACCAACUUCAUUAUUAAAUGAAAAGGUAAACCCUUGUUUGUACAAAGCAUGAAAGGAAAUAAUAUUUCUUGCCAUUCCUGGCGAAUAACAACACUUAUUCAAAUCUAAACUAAACCCACUACUUAGCGAUAAAGUAUAAACUCCAAUCUUGGUAACAGGUAUAGCUUUCCUAUUCCCCAUGAUCAAGUUUAUCCUUCCUUGCUCCACAUCCUCACUUCUUCUUAGUCCCUGCAAGUCACAACAAAUGUGAAUACCACACCCGGUAUCAAGGACCCAAGAAUUAGAAUGGGGUGAGUUAUUAGAAAUGAUAGUGUAAAUACCUGCAUGGUUGGGUUUAACUUUCCCAUCCUUCACAUCUUGCUGGUAUUUUGGGCAGUUCCGCUUCCAAUGAGCUUUUUCAUGGCAAUAGAAGCAUUCAGCCUCUUUUGGGUCAGAAGAAGGAGUAACGAAACCUUUCUUGGUUCCACUUGAAGAAGAGCCAUCAAGGGUCCGAGCCUUGGUACCCUUAGAAGAGCUCUUUCUCUUCCUCCCUCGACUUUUCCCGAUUGCCAAAACCGGAGUAGAGUUUUGAGUAGGAGUGAUAGCAACCGACUUCCCCUUAAGACCUGUUUCUGCGGUCUUGAGAAGUCCCUGAAGUUUGCUGAGGGUGACUUCUUCCUUGUUCAUGUGAUAUGUCAUGCGGAAUUGAUCAUAGCACGAUGGUAAGGAAUGCAAAAUAAUAUCUAUUGCAAGAUCCUCCGGGAAGUUCACAUUAAGCUUCAGCAAACGAUCCACAUACCUUUGCAUUUUCUGCAUGUGGCUCGUGACGGAUUCCCCGUCCUUCAUCAUGGUUGUUAUCAUGGAGCAGAUGAUUUCAUACCUCUCUUGUCUUGCACUUUGAUGGUAUCUUUCCAUCAAAUCUUGGUGCAUGUCAUAAGGGUAGAAAUCCUCAUAAGACUUUUGGAGUUCCGCUGUCAUCGUGGCCAUCAUGAUGCAAGCCACUUUCGUAGCAUCCCUUUCAUGUGCCCGAAAUUCAGCGAUCUCCUGAGGAGUUGCAGUGGACUCAUCAAUCUCCUUAAGCUCCUUGUCAAGGACAUAUUCUUUGUCCUCGUAGCGGGUAAUCAUCCUGAUGUUUCUGAUCCACUCAUUGAAGUUGGAUCCAUCAAAGGUGACUUUCCCACACAAGUUCAUAAGGGUAAAGGAGCCAUUAGGAUUAGAGCCAGAAGCAUUGUUGAAAGACAUCUGAAGGAAAGAGGACAAGAUUAGUUUAGAUAUAAGAGAGUCCUUAAUAAAACACCCAAAUGUAAUAUUAAGGCUAGGAUCCAAUCACAAUAUAAUAUAACUUAGAAGAGGUAUGCCGUAAUCUAAGCUAUAUCAUAUUUGAAAGGUAGGUGAAUGACGAUUCACCAAUUUCCACCACGAAAACCGCAAUAUUUUAGUAUUAGGUUUUUGAAUGGUUCUUAGAAAUUCCUAGAUUCUUUGAGAUUCAAUGAACUUUUCAAAGGCAUGUUUCAAUCUCGAGUGUGCCCUCCAAGUUUUGUGACUGGGAUACCGAGGAUCACAAAACGAGGUGUGAAGUAACCAUGCAAAUCACUUGGUACCCUUAAAGUUUAUCACUCAAUCGAUGUGCCGGUUAACCACACACGCUCCAUCGAUACUAUAAUAAACCCUAAGUCACCCUUUACCUACCUUGUUAAGUCCAAGUUAGUGUGCCGGUUAACCACACACGCUCCACCAACGACUUAAUCAAAGUGUAAAGUGUAAUUUCAUGGAAUAGCACCUUAUUCACAUUUUUCCUAAAGUAACUAAGAUUGGGAAUUUAAUAAAACAUUUAGUUACUUUAUAAUAUUCAUCAUACUUUGAAUGAGAAUUAAUAAGUCCUUGUCUUACCCGUUCGGCUAACGACCCUCCACCGAUCAAGCAAGCGGUGGGUGAGAGUGGACACCCAUUAAGUCACCAUUUUAUAGGCAACAACCUUAUACCCACCUUAUAGACCGGCUUCGUGAAUGAGGCGUACUAGCGGUAAGACGACUUUGUUCUUAUACAUAUAUAUAUAAUUAUUAAAUCAUAAUAAUAUAAGUAUAAGGGUUGAAUUUUAACUUUUAAAAUUCUAGGGGUUGGAACUAAAGUUUUAACUUAACUUUACUUGUUCCAAAACUUGAGGGCAAGUUUUGUAAACUUUCAAAACUUUUCAUUUCUUGUAACUUAUGAGUUUAAUAGAGUAAUAAAAUGAGGACUUUUCAUUUUUCCUAACUCUUGUGUUCUUUUAAUGGUUUUUAAUCCAAGAGACUUUUGGUUUUCCAUAACUUGAGGACAAGUUAUGGACUCCAUUAAAACACAUUAUGAUCAUGAAUUAAUCUACCACAUAGGUUACAAAUAAUUCCUAUGAUCAUCUAAACAUCAUAAGAACAAGAAUAUGAAUAUGAACACUUUCAAGAAUCAAAAUCACAUUUAAUCUUUGUAAUUUUGAUAACUAGUUGUUGUAAAUGAGUUAGAAAAGACAUUACACCUUCUAAAAUAAGUUUUCAAGUACCAAAACAUUUUAGGGUAAUGAUUCUAAUCCAUUUCCAGCAACUCAAGUCGAAAUUCUGCACUCUGUCGACCCUACUCGCCGAGUGCAUAAACCUACUCGCCGAGUAGGUUGAAGAUACACAUGAACUCGACGAGUCCUCCCCAUGGACUCGCCGAGUCCAUCAGUCAGACAGCAGAAUUUUCGACUUUCUUCAACUUUUAAGCACAAAUAACAAACAAACAAGCCUAGGCUCUGAUACCACUGAUGGGUUUUGAGCAUUCUAACACUUCCUAAGUGUACAUGCAACCCUAAUAACCUUGGAUCUAUGUUUGUCUAAUUAUCAUGCAAAGUUGAAUUCCAAGGUUAUAUUCCUAUCUAGCAUACAUGGGGAACAAUUUUAACUUGAAUCAUAGAUAGAAUAACUUACCUUGUUGUUGCUUGUGUUCCUUGAAACCUUGUGAGCCUAGCACCCCAAGUGUGAUGCCUCAAAUGCUUCACACAACACCAAAUGCUCUUGGAAAGACUCUUGAGAUAACACACACUUCUCAAAAUCGGCCAAGCCCUCUAGUUUCUUAGUGUUCAACUUGUGUAGCCAAUUUUGUGGAGAAUGGGACUCUUAUAUAGUGUUGGCACAUCUAGGGUUACACCAUGUAAACCCUAAUGUGUCAUGACUCUUCAUUUCCAUGACCCAUGGGUUUGUAACUCCCAUGGAGCAUCCAUGGAGCAUCCUAUGGGUAGAACCCAACUUGAUAAUCCAUGGAGCCUCUUAGCCCACUAUACAAGAUAUGGAUGAUUUACAUAAUCAACCCAUAUAUUUAAUUAGUUAUCCUUUGAUCACUUAAUUAAUUCCAAAUUAAUUCUUUGAUCAACUAAUCAAAUAAUAUUAUUAAUAUAUUAGAACUUAUAAUAUAUUAAUAAUCUCCAAGUGUUAUUUCUCUCAUUUAGUCUAUCCAAUUGCAUGGUGCCAUGCAACCCAAAUGGACCAUGCCGGGUCGGGUCAAGUACAAGCCCGAAAUAGUUAUGGACUUAGACACCUUAUCCAACAGUCUCCCACUUGGAUAAGUCUAAUAACUAUAUCUCUAGUACUUCAGGAACCGACCGGCAAUCGUAGCUCUUUCAAGGUCUCUCGGAACUGAGAAGAUGAUGGUACGCCAUUUAAGAUAAGUGAUCAUAUAAUCCUCCGUUCUAGAUAUCAGCCGGACAAAUACAUGGAACAUUGUCUUGCUUAUUGUCCAGCAUUUGUUUCCCGAUUUCCGAUUUGUUUGACAUAGAACUUAAUUGAACACAUCAACUUAGUUCUGACCGGGCCCGGUACAUGGGUCAAAACAAAAUCAUCGAGGGGCCCAGAUAUCAGCUUCUAAUCCAAGAAGGAACAGAUAAACUUCGACUCAUAUGUUUGUUCUACCACUCAUUGAAUUACACACAAAAGUACGUUUUAUAACAUCGAGUUACCAAUGCGGUUUCGUACAGUCAAUGCAUAACCAACUUGUAAGUAACAAAUCAUAUCUCUAGGUUUGAAGACUUAUAUGAUAUUACCGUCUCACGAUCACUCGAGAUAGAAUUCCAUGAAGUGAUUCCAGUGAGCGUGGGUUGAGUCCAAUGCUCAGAACUUAUGAGCACUCAUGAUUGUUGUAGCCUUGUCCAAGACCUCUACAACCAAACAUGACAGUCUUGAUUCAUAUCUACUUCCAACAUAUGACCGACUGUGGAGGUUUGAAUAAUAUGUUAUACCAAACAAAAUUAUUCUGGAAGUCAAAACAUGCAAAAGAAAUAUAGUAAACGAUCGACAAGAGAUAGCAACACUUUACUCAUAAAUAAAACACCUUUUAUUCAUCAUCAAAUGUCAAUUACACUUUACAAAUUUCUGGGUUAUCUAACUACUAAAACUUAUAUCAUCCUUCAGCCCUAUGCUCCGAGCAUGCUGGAGAUGCUUAACCCUACUCAGUCCCUUCGUGAGGGGAUCUGCUGGGUUCUCAUCCGAUGAUACCCUCUUUGCCACGAGGAGUCCUUCUUCGAUCCGAUGUCUAAUGAAAUGGUAUUUUCUGUCGAUGUGUCUGGAUCUCCCAUGAUCCCUUGGUUCCUUGGCUAAGGCAACAGCACUUUCACUAUCACAGAAAAUUUCCAUUGGCUCUUUAAUAGCUGGUACAACUCCAAGGUCUCCAAUGAAGUUCUUCAGCCAUAUCGCCUCCUUUGCUGCUUCACUAGCUGCAAUAUACUCUGAUUCACAAGUAGAAUCUGCCACUGUCUCUUGCUUGGAACUCUUCCAAGAAAUUGCUCCUCCGUUUAGGGUAAAGACCCAGCCCGACUGAGAGCGGAAAUUAUCCCUAUCAGUCUGGAAGCUAGCAUCACUAUACCCUACAACUCUCAAGUCAUCACUCCCACCGAGGGUAAGGACCCAGUCCUUAGUCCUCCGUAGGUACUUGAGGAUAUUCUUUACCGCAGUCCAGUGUGCCUUGCCAGGGUUCGCCUGAUACCUGCUAACCAUGCUCAAGGCAAAAGCUACAUCGGGUCGAGUACACGUCAUAGCAUACAUGAUCGAUCCUACAGCCGAAGCGUAAGGUGUUCGACUCAUUUCUGCUAUCUCAGCCUCAGUGCUAGGGCUUUGUGUCUUACUCAAUCUGGUGUUACUCUGGAUGGGUAACUCUCCUUUCUUGGAAUCCUGCAUGCUGAAUCUCUUCAGCACCUUAUCCAAGUAGGUACUCUGACUAAGUCCAAUUAGUCUUUUACUCCGAUCUCUCAAGAUUCUUAUCCCUAGAAUAUAGGCAGCUUCACCAAGGUCCUUCAUAGCGAAACACUUCCCAAGCCAGGACUUUACUUCCUGCAGGGUUGGAAUGUCGUUUCCUAUGAGUAGUAUGUCAUCCACAUACAAUACCAAAAAGCUAACUAUACUCCCACUAGCCUUGACAUACACACAAGAUUCAUCUUCACUCCUAGAAAAGCCAAAUUCCUUGACCUUUUCAUCAAAGCAAAGAUUCCAUCUGCGAGGUGCUUGCUUCAAUCCAUAAAUGGAUUUCUCAAGCUUACACACUCUAUUAGGGUACUCGUUGCUGACAAAACCCUCUGGCUGACUCAUGUAAACAUCUUCAGCCAACUUUCCAUUAAGGAAAGCGGUUUUGAC